rnacentral:rRNA from 1 species
GUCUAUGGCCAUACCAAUCUGAAUGUGCCAGAGAUCAAACGAGAUCCUGUGCCUGAUCUGGGAAGCUAAGUAGGUUCGGGCCUGGUUAGUACUUUAAUGGGAGGAGGCUACAGCUGGGAUAUAAAUU